rfam:Triticum aestivum genome assembly, contig: Triticum_aestivum_CS42_TGACv1_scaffold_405196_5BL
GAUGUACUCCCUCCAUCCGGAAAUACUUGUCGCGAAAAUGAAUAUAAAUAGAUGCAUCUAAAACCAAAAUAUGUCUAGAUACAUUCAUUGCUCCGACAAGUAUUUUUGGACGGAGGGAGUAUAAU